CCUACGGGUGACAGCAGUAAGGAAUAUUGGUCAAUGGACGAGAGUCUGAACCAGCCAAGUAGCGUGAAGGAUGACUGCCCUAUGGGUUGUAAACUUCUUUUAUAUGGGAAUAAAAUGUUCCACGUGUGGGAUUUUGUAUGUACCAUAUGAAUAAGGAUCGGCUAACUCCGUGCCAGCAGCCGCGGUAAUACGGAGGAUCCGAGCGUUAUCCGGAUUUAUUGGGUUUAAAGGGAGCGUAGGUGGAUUGUUAAGUCAGUUGUGAAAGUUUGCGGCUCAACCGUAAAAUUGCAGUUGAAACUGGCAGUCUUGAGUACAGUAGAGGUGGGCGGAAUUCGUGGUGUAGCGGUGAAAUGCUUAGAUAUCACGAAGAACUCCGAUUGCGAAGGCAGUUCACUGGACUGCAACUGACACUGAGGCUCGAAAGUGUGGGUAUCAAACAGGAUUAGAUACCCCUGUAGUC
rnacentral:rRNA from 1 species